rnacentral:lncRNA from 1 species
UCACCGGCAGUAGAUGCUAUCUCAAGAAACCGCUUUCUUUGCUGAUUCAUUAGAAACAGCUCAUCAUUCAUUCAAGGGUGAUCAUGAGAUUGCAACAAUUUAGUCACAUCUUCAGGCUCCAUUUCAAAUUUAGUUAUCUUGCUGUUUCUACUACACCUGCAGCUGUGCUUAGUGACUUUGUUCUGAAGAAUAUAGCAUGGGAAGGUGAAAAAGUAACUUUAUUGUGGAGGCGUCUACAAACACUACCUCAGCCAGGUGAUGAAAAUUAACAUCCAUAAAGAUAAGUCAUAUUGGUAGUUUGUAUCCUUGAUAUGAUGUAGUAAGAAUGGCACUUAAUCUUUGAGGUGCUCCUUCCAA